AUUGAACGCUGGCGGCAUGCUUUACACAUGCAAGUCGAACGGUAACAGGCCUUCGGCUGCUGACGAGUGGCGAACGGGUGAGUAAUGCAUCGGAACGUACCCAGAGGUGGGGGAUAACGCAGCGAAAGCUGUGCUAAUACCGCAUGUGAUCUGAGGAUGAAAGCGGGGGACCGAGCAGCAAUGUUUGGCCUCGCGCCUUUGGAGCGGCCGAUGUCGGAUUAGCUAGUUGGUGGGGUAAAGGCCUACCAAGGCGACGAUCCGUAGCUGGUCUGAGAGGACGACCAGCCACACUGGGACUGAGACACGGCCCAGACUCCUACGGGAGGCAGCAGUGGGGAAUUUUGGACAAUGGGCGCAAGCCUGAUCCAGCAAUGCCGCGUGCGGGAAGAAGGCCUUCGGGUUGUAAACCGCUUUUGGCAGGAACGAAACGGUGUCCGCUAAUACCGGGCGCUAAUGACGGUACCUGCAGAAUAAGCACCGGCUAACUACGUG
rnacentral:rRNA from 1 species